AAAAAAAAUAAUAAUAAGAGAAAGAGAGAAAAUGUGGGGUGGAUGCUGCUGUUUUUUGAUGGUGGAGUGGAUGUUAGCGGAUGUUUGUUAGCGGAUGCUGGCUGGGAGGACCUCGAAGAGCACAUUUGAGCAGAGAUCUGAGUGGAAGAGUAGAGGGGAAGUGUGAGAAUAAACUGUGGGGACAGAGAAGGAGAAAUGUUAAGUCAGAUAGAAGCCAAAGGAAUUCACACGUGAUUAAAGUCUCUCUCUCUCUCUCUCUCUCUCUCUCUCUCUCUCUCUCUUCUCUCUCUCCUCUCUCUCUCUCUCUCCUUCCCUCCCUCUCUCUUCUUCUCCCCCUCACCUCUCUCUCCUGAAACAGUUUCUUAUACUAUGCAACCCAGGGUAGCCUCAAGUUUGUCAUCCUCCUGUCUCAGUCUGCAGAUUACUAGCUCGAGUGUGUGCCGCCGCCCAUGUAAAUUGUUUUCCAUGAUUUAGAUAUAAGAUGCUCAUGUGCUGUGCUGUGUGGAACAGCUGGCGAAAACCCCAGUGCACUCGGUGGGAAGACAAGAGGAAUCUCUGAGUUUUGAAACUCAAGAAUACUGCAGAAAACUGAUCCAUGAGGGAAACUUUCCUGAUUAAGUUUUCCAAAAAGCAGGUCAGGGAAGAACUCAUGGAUUCGCUGCAGACAUGCGGAAGAAGUGUUGGCCAUUUCAGAGAGAUUGUCCCAUUAAAGUCCCUGACUGUUUACCAAGCAGCAUAGAGAGGCUACUGCAAAACAUGGCAAGGCAUCUGUCUACAGAACUCCUGUCAGACAUCUGGACCAGUGUCUUGUGUUAAGAAUCCCUGUAUGAUUCAGAACCAAAGUUAUUCGCAUGAUCAACACAUUGCUAUAAAGUUGUGCCUAGGUAAAAGAGCCACUCAAAGAUGAAUCCAAUCCAUUCUCAUGGAAGAAUGUGAAGCAUUUAUUGACUGGCUUUCAUAUUCUAUGUGUCAGCUAACUUUCAAACCACUAUCAUAACUUGUUCAAGUUUGGUACUAUUGAAGACUGUUCUUGAUUAUUUGGAAAAAAUGUAUUGAGACGCUUUCUUCCCUUUGGAACAAGACAGAGAAGAUCAGCAUGGCCUCUUCACAAGAGUGACAUGCAAAUUUGUGAAGCAUUUCAAUUUUUUAGUCUUAGUUUUAAACGUGCAUUUUCCUUGCCAAUUACAAUUAUACACCCGUGCUAAGCCAGAUCUUUUCGUAUCAUUUGACUAAUAUAGCAUGUAAGAAAUGAAAUGCAGUAGCACAUAUGGAUACCCAGCUCUUUUCUUCUAAGUUUGAUAUUUGAAGGGGCCACAUAAAUAUAAGACAACAGCUUUCUUCUUACUAAGUUACUUUUUGUUUUAGAAGACACAGAUAUUUCUCAUCCAGUAAACAUGAAAUGGUCACAUUCUUUUAGCUAAUGAAUAUUUUGAAUAUCACUUGGUUUGAAUUUUUGGAUUGGAUACAGUACAAUAAGUGUAAUGUGACCGCAUAAAGAAUUUGAGGUACAGCAGGGGUCAUAGUUGUUUUGUAGAGUUCUUGUCUCUCCUGCCAGAGCACUGCAGCACAUGGCCAUAAUCCCAGCACUCACUGGAGGUGGAGGCAGGAGGACCAGGAGUUCAAGGUCAUCUUCAGCUACAUGAUGACUUUAGACUGUGACAAGUUGACUUAUGUUCCGAACAAGAUCCUCUACCCUCUCCUGACUUCUGAAGGCAUGCAAGUGAUACUGAGAAAUACAUUCGGGCAAAGCAUCCAUAUGCACA